GGCAGAGUAGAUAAUUGUGGGUUAUGGGCCCGGGAAACGGAGAGUUGGUCUCGGGAGGGAAGCUUUCAUAUAGGUGUAUGCCGUAUGAAAGCUGCCGUACAAUUAUCGCAUCUCGCUGCU
rnacentral:ncRNA from 2 species